GGAUGAUCUGGGCAAGAUGACUUAUCUGACCAUGUGCAUCAAGGAGAGCUUCCGCCUCUACCCACCUGUGCCCCAGGUGUACCGCCAGCUCAGCAAGCCUGUCACCUUUGUGGAUGGCCGGUCUCUACCUGCAGGAACUGCAUUGGGCAGCAGUUUGCCAUGAGUGAGAUGAAGGUGGUCACAGCCAUGUGCUUGCUCCGCUUUGAGUUCUCUCUGGACCCCUCACGGCUGCCCAUCAAGAUGCCCCAGCUUGUCCUGCGCUCCAAGAAUGGCUUUCACCUCCACCUGAAGCCACUGGGCCCUGGGUCUGGGAAGUAGCUCUGAUGAGAAUGGGGUCCCAGAUGGCUCAGGCUGUGACCUCCCUGGGCACCACCCUCCCCAGGCUGGGUGUGGAGGAGUUGGGGCACCCUGCCUUCAGGAGGCUUGUAGUUUAGAAGGGAAGUAGGCAUUACCAUAGACGACUCCUAGAGGACAGUGCUAUGUAAAAAUGUGUGUCUAUAAAUGUUUAUCAUGCAUGUA
rnacentral:sRNA from 1 species